GUGGGGAAUCUUGCGCAAUGGGCGAAAGCCUGACGCAGCCAUGCCGCGUGAAUGAUGAAGGUCUUAGGAUUGUAAAAUUCUUUCACCGGGGACGAUAAUGACGGUACCCGGAGAAGAAGCCCCGGCUAACUUCGUGCCAGCAGCCGCGGUAAUACGAAGGGGGCUAGCGUUGCUCGGAAUUACUGGGCGUAAAGGGCGCGUAGGCGGACAGUUUAGUCAGAGGUGAAAGCCCAGGGCUCAACCUUGGAAUUGCCUUUGAUACUGGCUGUCUUGAGUACGGGAGAGGUGAGUGGAACUCCGAGUGUAGAGGUGAAAUUCGUAGAUAUUCGGAAGAACACCAGUGGCGCAGGCGACUCACUGGCCCGUUACUGACGCUGAGGCGCGAAAGCGUGGGGAGCAAACAGGAUUAGAUACCCUUGUAGUCC
rnacentral:rRNA from 1 species